AUGGCCAGCCUCCGACGCCUUAGCCGCCGCCGAAACCCAUCCACAGAUCCGCCUCCAACCUCCAAGCCACGCGUUCUGCAUAUCCACAGACACUCAGCCGCGAAACCGACGACACAAAAUCCACACCAUCGUUAUCGGAUGUACCUCCGCGCGACGAUUCCGCCGGCCAUCCUCUUCGUAAGGGAGGUAAAGGCAAUGAGAUUUAACAAGUUGCUCCAUGGGUUCAUGAGUUUAUUUCCACGCCCUAGUCAAUAA